rnacentral:rRNA from 1 species
UACGUAGGUGGCAAGCGUUAUCCGGAUUUACUGGGUGUAAAGGGCGUGUAGGCGGGGACGCAAGUCAGAUGUGAAAACCACGGGCUCAACCUGUGGCCUGCAUUUGAAACUGUGUUUCUUGAGUACUGGAGAGGCAGACGGAAUUCCUAGUGUAGCGGUGAAAUGCGUAGAUAUUAGGAGGAACACCAGUGGCGAAGGCGGUCUGCUGGACAGCAACUGACGCUGAGGCGCGAAAGUGUGGGGAGCAAACAGG